AUUGAACGCUGGCGGAAUGCUUUACACAUGCAAGUCGAACGGCAGCACGGACUCCGGUCUGGUGGCGAGUGGCGAACGGGUGAGUAACAUAUCGGAACGUAUCCAAUAAUGGGGGAUAACUAAUCGAAAGGUUGGCUAAUACCGCAUACGCCCUAUGGGGGAAAGCUAGGGACCUUCGGGCCUGGCGUUAAUGGAGCGGCCGAUAUCUGAUUAGCUAGUUGGUGGGGUAAAGGCCCACCAAGGCGACGAUCAGUAGCUGGUCUGAGAGGACGACCAGCCACACUGGAACUGAGACACGGUCCAGACUCCUACGGGAGGCAGCAGUGGGGAAUUUUGGACAAUGGGCGCAAGCCUGAUCCAGCCAUUCCGCGUGAGUGAAGAAGGCCUUCGGGUUGUAAAGCUCUUUCGCAAGGGAAGAAAACUUAGCCACUAACAUUGGCUGAGGUUGACGGUACCUUGAUAAGAAGCACCGGCUAACUACGUGCCAGCCGCCGCGGUAA
rnacentral:rRNA from 1 species